GAUCCCCAUGACCUCUAUGGUUCCUUAGACUGCACUUUGAGAACUAUUGAUGUACAGGGAAAAAUGCUCUUGGUGUUCCAGUUUAGCACAGAAUAAAAUCUGGACUGUGUCAGUUUGUGAAGGUCUUAUGUCUACUUGGUCAUCAGCCAAGAAGGGAUUCCGAAGAUAGAAGAGGAGGCAUCGACACCAUGAACAUCAUGGCUGAGUUAUUUUGUGAGAAGGCUAAGCCUAAAGUAAAAACCUUGGAUUUGCCUCUGUCCUUGAA